rnacentral:tRNA from 1 species
GGAGACGUGGCUGAGCUGGUCGAAGGCACCUCACUGCUAACGAGGCAGGGUAGAAAUAUCCUCAUGGGUUCGAAUCCCAUCGUCUCCGCCA